UAACACCGUAAGUAGUAACCACUAUUUCUGUGGAAUAACCGCAAGUUGGAAGAGCACACUCUCAAAAUGAAAUUAAUUGGAAUUGUUUUGGGCGUUUGUUUAAUCGCACUGCCCAGUGCAUUCUGUGAGCCAUUGCCUCCUUUUAACUGGAAUCGCACUUGGGGAUAGAAAAAAACUCCAAAUAUUUGAGCAAUGAUAGAAAUGAAGUUGAUGUUAUAGUGAAUCAUGUUUGUUUUUUUGAAAUUUCAAUAAAUAUUAUAACCCAAAUAAAUACAA